GGCUCAAACGGUGUUAAUCCACUUCCUCAGAAGCUUGGUUCAGACUUUAUGUUUUUUAUCUUCAGGUCACAUCCUGUCGCUCUGAGAGUCAUGUGACCAGUUUCUAAUCAAUCCGCUGUCUUUUGGUGCAGCUCCUCCGAGGAACACCACUGUCCUCGUCCUGCCGUCUACGGUGGUCCAGGAGGGACAAAAUGUCACUAUCUGCUGCCAGACCAUCAGCUUUCCACCGUCUGCCAUUGUCCUGAAGAAGUUGACCAACGGGACGGAGCUGUUCUCCACCAACGGCACCUUCCUAUUGGUCAACGUCACUGCCAAAGACUCCGGGCUGUACCAGGUCAAUGUGAGCAACCAGCUCGGGUACCAGCUCCAAGUCUUCAGCCUCAGCGUCAGAGAGAGAAGCUCCAGUCCUCCUCCCAGUCUCACUGCUUACAUUGUCCCAGUUCUCUGUGCCGCCACUGGGCUCGCAGCCUCUGCUCUGCUCCUCGAAUACUUGAGGAGAUCCAGGAAGAAAGGCUUCUACCAGCUGCCCCAGUCUGCCCCCCCCUCAGCCUGAAGCCCGCACUGGGCUACUAACUCCCGCCAUGUGGCUACCACCUCCCAACAUGUGGCUACCACCUUGCAACAAGUGGCUACUAACUCCAAACAUGUGGCCACUGCUUGUUUCCCAAAAACAUGGCCACCACCUCCUGAUAUGUGACUUCCAUCUGUUUCAGCACAAUAUUUAAUUAUCUCAUCACGUAGCUACUAUGUUCCAACACGUGGCUACCAAAGUCCAAACCAUGUUCGCAUCAUUCUAGGACAUCACAACAUACGACUACUUCUUCAGCCCAUGGUAACCACGCAUCAACUUGUAUUUUUAUAACUACCCAAUGGCUGGCUAUCACCUCCCAACACAUGGCUACCAAGUUCCAACAUUUGGCUAUCACUUUCUCAGAUGUGGCUUCAAUAUCCAAAUAUGUGACUACCACUUCCCCUACUACCACAACUUUCAUAUCACAACAUAUGGAUACUAUCCUCUGACAUGUGGCUACCAUUUGCCAACAUGUGGCUAAUAACUCCCAACAUGUGGCUUCUACCUGUCUUUAUCCCAAACAUGUGGUUACCACCUGUUAUUAACAUUUUUAUGUCUAAGCGUGUGGAUACUAACUCCCACCAUGUGGCUCCUGGUCUCUGUCAAAGAGUCUGGUCAGCGGUGGUCUGUCAGUGUCUCUCGCCAGUAUACUGUCCCUUUAACGUCCUGAGGAUGGACAGACAGCAGGACAGCUUCUCUGAAUCAGACCUUUUACUUUUCUAACGUGUCAGAAGCAACACGCUAGACUGCUGCGUGUUUUUGGCAUGGGCUUGCAGUGCUGGGUCAGGGGUUAUUAUGGGCUGGAUCGUACUGGGUCAGGGGUUAUUAUGGGCUGGAUCGUACUGGGUCAGGGGUUAUUAUGGGCUGGAUCUCUGCUGUGAGCUGAAUGUAGAUUUUGUUUCUCUGCUUUUAUUAAAGAUAUUUAUUUCUU